rnacentral:misc_RNA from 1 species
GAUGAAGAACGCAGUGAAAUGCGAUACGUAGUGUGAAUUGCAGAAUUCAGUGAAUCAUCGAAUCUUUGAACGCACAUUGCACCUCUCGGUAUUCCGGGAGGUAUGCCUGUUCGAGCGUCAUUUGUACCCUCAAGCUCUGCUUGGUGUUGGGUGUUUGUUCCGCCUCUGUGUGUGAACUCGCCUCAAAACAAUUGGCAGCCGGCGUACUUGUUUCGGAGCGCAGCACAUUUUGCGAUCCAGAUCAACGUACAGCGGCAUCCAAGAAGCCUUAUUUAACGCUCUUGACCUCGGAUCAGGUAGGGAUACCCGCCGAACUUAAGCAUAUCAAUAAGCGGAGGA